GAGUUUGAUCCUGGCUCAGGACGAACGCUGGCGGCGUGCUUAACACAUGCAAGUCGAGCGAUGAAGUUCCUUCGGGAACGGAUUAGCGGCGGACGGGUGAGUAACACGUGGGUAACCUGCCUCAUAGAGGGGAAUAGCCUUCCGAAAGGAAGAUUAAUACCGCAUAAGAUUGUAGUUUCGCAUGAAACAGCAAUUAAAGGAGUAAUCCGCUAUGAGAUGGACCCGCGUCGCAUUAGCUAGUUGGUGAGGUAACGGCUCACCAAGGCGACGAUGCGUAGCCGACCUGAGAGGGUGAUCGGCCACAUUGGGACUGAGACACGGCCCAGACUCCUACGGGAGGCAGCAGUGGGGAAUAUUGCACAAUGGGGGAAACCCUGAUGCAGCAACGCCGCGUGAGUGAUGACGGCCUUCGGGUUGUAAAGCUCUGUCUUUGGGGACGAUAAUGACGGUACCUGAGGAGGAAGCCACGGCUAACUACGUGCCAGCAGCCGCGGUAAUACGUAGGUGGCAAGCGUUGUCCGGAUUUACUGGGCGUAAAGGGAGCGUAGGUGGAUAUUUAAGUGGGAUGUGAAAUACUCGGGCUUAACCUGAGUGCGGCAUUCC
rnacentral:rRNA from 1 species